rnacentral:rRNA from 1 species
GAGCACUGUUUCGGCUAGGGGGCCAUCCCGGCUUACCAACCCGAUGCAAACUGCGAAUACCGGAGAAUGUUAUCACGGGAGACACACGGCGGGUGCUAACGUCCGUCGUGAAGAGGGAAACAACCCAGACCGCCAGCUAAGGUCCCAAAGUCAUGGUUAAGUGGGAAACGAUGUGGGAAGGCCCAGACAGCCAGGAUGUUGGCUUAGAAGCAGCCAUCAUUUAAAGAAAGCGUAAUAGCUCACUGGUCGAGUCGGCCUGCGCGGAAGAUGUAACGGGGCUAAACCAUGCACCGAAGCUGCGGCAGCGACACUAUGUGUUGUUGGGUAGGGGAGCGUUCUGUAAGCCGUUGAAGGUGUGCUGUGAGGCAUGCUGGAGGUAUCAGAAGUGCGAAUGCUGACAUAAGUAACGAUAAAGCGGGUGAAAAGCCCGCUCGCCGGAAGACCAAGGGUUCCUGUCCAACGUUAAUCGGGGCAGGGUGAGUCGACCCCUAAGGCGAGGCCGAAAGGCGUAGUCGAUGGGAAACAGGUUAAUAUUCCUGUACUUGGUGUUACUGCGAAGGGGGGACGGAGAAGGCUAUGUCGGCCGGGCGACGGUUGUCCCGGUUUAAGCGUGUAGGUGUGUGCUCCAGGCAAAUCCGGUGCACUUUAACACUGAGGCGUGAUGACGAGGCACUACGGUGCUGAAGUGACAAAUGCCCUGCUUCCAGGAAAA